AAAAAGUAUGACUUUUCUCGAAAGUCUUCAACUUUUUUUUUAUUUACUUGGUUUUAUUAUUUCUUUCCUUGUAUGUAUCUUGAUAAAAAAAACGAUAUGUUGUUGAACAGGCCGCAUGAAUUUAAUUUGACCAUAAAAUUACUUUUUGAUAGAGGCAUUUUUGUGUCAGUUUUGCCGGAAACAUUGUCAAGUGUUGCUCUGAUCUCUAAUUUGUAGAGAGCAAUUAAACAUGUGUCACAAAUAUUUCGUUUUCAAUUGUACAUGGUUUGUUUUGUGUACUUGACUUUAUCUGUCUGGCACACAUUUAGUUAUCAAAUACUAGUACAAUGAUAAUAAUGAAAGAUAAAAAUCUACUAUGUACCAGAUAUAUUUGAAAUCAUGAAUGAAAUAAUUAAUCAGCUCAUUUCCGUGGGAAUUUUGUGACGUUUUAUCUGUUACCUAUUCACCAUUCCUUUUUUCUGUUUGCACAGUCUAUAAGCUAGGCCAUCUGAUAUAUUAAUGACCUUUGAUUGGGGGAAAUAAAGUGUAUUGAAAG
rnacentral:misc_RNA from 1 species